GGAGAGGAGACGCUUGCUCAAGCCCAAUUGCAGCUGAGCUCAGUUCCGAAGUGGAAGCACUCAGAGAGCCACACCCUGACCCUAGGCAGAGAUGUGGACACUACUGCAUCAACAGCCCACAAGAUAUGACCAAGACACUUCUCAACUGCUAAAAAGAAAGAAAUGAAACCCUUCCAUCAACUCUCAGCCCAUGUUCCUUCUCUGGGAACUUAUUCGCUGCCUCCUUCCAGUGUAUUUCAAUAAAUUCUGUUUUUCCA